UUGGAUUGCAUCCCAUUGGUCAGAUCUUUUCAACUCUUGACUUUUAAAUUUGUGCUUAGUAUUAGUCUCUUCAUCUCCUCCCGACUUCUUUAAUUUCAAAUCUCUCCCUCCUUUUAAAAUCUUCUUUGCUUGUGUUUGUUUUCUAAGCUCGGACCAUUUUUCAAAUUAGAAACUUUGGCCUUAUGCCAUUGUAUUUUCAAACUCUUUUCUUAAAUAAACUUGUAAAUAAACUUAACUAUACUUGACUUAAAAUUU
rnacentral:lncRNA from 1 species